rnacentral:rRNA from 1 species
UGCAAGUCGAACGAGUGCAUUCGGGUGCUAGUGGCGCACGGGUGCGUAACGCGUGGGAAUCUGCCCUUUGGUUCGGAAUAACAGCUGGAAACGGCUGCUAAUACCGGAUGAUGACGAAAGUCCAAAGAUUUAUCGCCAGAGGAUGAGCCCGCGUUGGAUUAGGUAGUUGGUGGGGUAAAGGCCUACCAAGCCGACGAUCCAUAGCUGGUCUGAGAGGAUGAUCAGCCACACUGGGACUGAGACACGGCCCAGACUCCUACGGGAGGCAGCAGUGGGGAAUAUUGGACAAUGGGCGCAAGCCCGAUCCAGCAAUGCCGCGUGAGUGAUGAAGGCCCUAGGGUUGUAAAGCUCUUUUACCCGGGAAGAUAAUGACUGUACCGGGAGAAUAAGCCCCGGCUAACUCCGUGCCAGCAGCCGCGGUAAUACGGAGGGGGCUAGCGUUGUUCGGAAUUACUGGGCGUAAAGCGCACGUAGGCGGCUUUGUAAGUCAGAGGUGAAAGCCUGGAGCUCAACUCCAGAACUGCCUUUGAGACUGCAUCGCUUGAAUCCAGGAGAGGUCAGUGGAAUUCCGAGUGUAGAGGUGAAAUUCGUAGAUAUUCGGAAGAACACCAGUGGCGAAGGCGGCUGACUGGACUGGUAUUGACGCUGAGGUGCGAAAGCGUGGGGAGCAAAC